AGUAGCGCCCAUUCCUAUUUGUCCCCAAAUUGAGGAGGUGGUCAGGAGUCUAGACACAGUUCGCCUUUAAUAUUGAAUUCAGUAGUCAGGAAAUGAUAUUCACAGGAGAUUAUGAAGAUGCUGGAAAUCUAGAGCAACAGACACGAAAAACUGGAGGAACUCAGCAGGCAUGUCAUUCCAUGGCCUCCUCUUCUGCCACAAUGAGGCUUCUCUCCGGUUGAAUGAGUAACACCUCAUACCUAGCAACACCUCGGUAGCCUCCAACCUGAUGGCAUCCUAUGAUGCGGCUUGGCGCCGAGGACUUCCAGCAACUUGCAUUUUUAUUUAGCUUGUAUCUUGUACUUGGGCAAUUUAAAUGAGACUGAAUUGUAUAUCCACUACAAUAAAUUGAAAGACCUGCAAGAAAGCUGUCACUCCGCGUGGUAGGGUUGUUUGGAUUCCUGGAUGGCGGGAAGGGAGGAGGUAAAAGAACUGGUGUGGUACCUUGUGCAGGUGAUGGGAAAGGCUCAACAGAAACCCUUCCCAUCAGAAAAAGGAGAUUGGACUCAGGAAUUACACAGACAACAGUCCAUUCAAAACACCAUAAGGACCGUGAAGACAUGCGUGUCGG